rnacentral:rRNA from 1 species
UACGUAGGGUGCGAGCGUUGUCCGGAAUUAUUGGGCGUAAAGAGCUCGUAGGCGGCCUGUCGCGUCGGAUGUGAAAGCCCGGGGCUCAACCCCGGGUCUGCAUUCGAUACGGGCAGGCUGGAGUGUGGUAGGGGAGAUCGGAAUUCCUGGUGUAGCGGUGAAAUGCGCAGAUAUCAGGAGGAACACCGGUGGCGAAGGCGGAUCUCUGGGCCAUUACUGACGCUGAGGAGCGAAAGCGUGGGGAGCAAACAGG